UACGGAGGGUGCUAGCGUUAUCCGGAUUUACUGGGCGUAAAGGGUGCGUAGGCGGUAUUUCAAGUCGGUGGUUAAAGGCUAGGGCUCAACCGUAUUAAGCCGCCGAAACUGGCAGACUUGAGUGCAGGAGAGGAAAGUGGAAUUCUCAGUGUAGCGGUGAAAUGCUUAGAUAUUGAGAAGAACACCAGUAGCGAAGGCGGCUGUCGGGACUGUAACUGACACUGAGGCACGAGAGCGUGGGUAGCAAACAGG
rnacentral:rRNA from 1 species